rnacentral:rRNA from 1 species
AUACAGAGGGUGCAAGCGUUAAUCGGAAUUACUGGGCGUAAAGCGCACGUAGGUGGUUGAAUCAGUCGGGUGUGAAAGCCCCGGGCUUAACCUGGGAAUUGCAUUCGAAACUGUUCGACUAGAGUCUAGUAGAGGGAAGUAGAAUUCCACAUGUAGCGGUGAAAUGCGUAGAUAUGUGGAGGAAUAUCAGUGGCGAAGGCGGCUUCCUGGACUAAUACUGACACUGAGGUGCGAAAGCGUGGGGAGCAAACAGGAUUAGAAACCCCGGUAGUCC